CCAUCUUUACCAUGCUGUGCUGCUGUAUGCCUCUGGGAUCAGCUGCCCUUGUUUACUCCCUCACAACUGGAGAUGCUAACAUGUUUGGACACCAGCAAAUAGCCAGCAGAAACUCCAGAAUGGCAUGCAUAAUCAACCAUAUCAUUGUUGCUGUUGGCGUAAUCUUUUGUUUGAUUUAUAUAGUUUGCAUCAUUCUUCCUGUUGUCACAGUUACACGACAUUCACAGCUUUAGACCAUAAUUGUAAGCAAUCUCAUGCAGGACACCAGAAAGUUGAAGAUAGUAAGGGUUUUACAAAUAGAAACACCAUAUGUUUCAAAUACAAGCACAUUUGUGGUUCUGCUUUUAAAUGUUAGUGUUGCUCAAGUUAUUUUUUUGUAUGAUAGCUUUUAGACUUUUUACUGUAUGUAUGAGGAGCUCCAUCCAGAGGACCAGUGAGGAAUGAUUCAGCAUGUUUAAUGACACAGACUCCUCACCAUAUCAUUGUUAAUACAUAAUUCAAACAAAUGCUUUUUAAAGUUAACUAUUUUAUGUUUU